AACAUAUAUUCAGUUCUAAAGUACGUGGCGAGAAGUAACUAGUAGACUUAUUGAAAGUGACUUCCCCUCGGAGAAAAAUUUAUUUUCAUUACUUUACUGAGUGCAUAGAUCAUUUUCCGGAAUAAUGCAGUCGCUCAUAAUUUUAAUUGUGAUUCUAUGCACUGUGACGUGGAUGAAUUCUGGUUCAACUGCAUUAAACUUCUCCGACCUUAAUACAACAUGCAACCAGGAUGAACACUGCACUGACUGGUGCCUGUACGUGUACAAAAAAAACAUCAAACCCCACUGUACAGACGGCAGUUGCCAAUGUUAACCCUUAUUUGCACGAGUUACUAAAAAUAAAAUUGAUGACGGGAAUGGUGUUGGAGAAUACAGUUUGGAAACGGUGAAAUAUGUUAUGCCACUGUUCAUAAAAACAGCGGAAUCGAGGGAGAACGAAGAAACUAAUUUUUUUUAAUGAGGCCAGCUAUCCUUCAGCAGUCUAGGACAAAUUGAAUGGAAAUAGACCGCACAAGACGGCUCAAGAUAAUAUUAGCUAAAAGAUAGUCAAUUAUAAUAUAAUGGUGAAGGAAAUUUUUUUUCAAUUUUAAUACGAGUAUUGGAAAAAAUCGUAGAGCAGAGGCUGUUGAAAAUUUCAAUGCUCUGAAAAUAUAAUUUCGAGGAAUAUCUGAUAAAUUACGUCCGUCAAAUGGAUCUGAACUAGAGCAGAGUACCAUCCUCAUUCACCACAUAUUUAUUUAUUCUCUUUAUUUCGCUGAACGCAUAGAGCUCCAACAAUAGAAAUUUAUAGAUGAUGUAACAAAAAAUAUGAAGUACGUCAGGAUGUCUUGAAUGAAAUUCUAAAUGCUGUAAAGCAACAUCCCACUAGCCAAUACACUCAUCUAUAUCCUCGUCCUUCCUUAAAAUCCAUAAAUCGUUAGCUACAUCCAGUCGUAACCCAUGUACCAAAGAAAAAAAUCAUAAAAAAAGAAUCACCAGCAAUACUAAAAAAUA